UACAGAGGGGGCAAGCGUUAUUCGGAAUUAUUGGGCGUAAAGGGCGCGUAGGCGGCUUUGCAAGUGGCGGGUGAAAUCCCUCGGCUUAACCGAGGAACUGCCUGUCAAACUGCAUGGCUUGAGACCGGGAGAGGUGAGUGGAAUUCCCAGUGUAGCGGUGAAAUGCGUAGAUAUUGGGAGGAACACCAGUGGCGAAGGCGGCUCACUGGACCGGUACUGACGCUGAGGCGCGAAAGCGUGGGGAUCAAACAGG
rnacentral:rRNA from 1 species